ACCUCAAAUCAGGGUAGGACUACCCGCUGAACUUAAGCAUAUCAAUAAGCGGAGGAAAAGAAACUAACAAGGAUUCCCCUAGUAACUGCGAGUGAAGCGGGAAAAGCUCAAAUUUGAAAUCUGGCAGUUCUUGCAGCUGUCCGAGUUGUAAUUUAGAGAAGUGUUGCCCGCGCUGGACCGUAUAUAAGUCCUUUGGAAUGAGGCGUCAUAGAGGGUGAGAAUCCCGUCUUUGAUACGGACUACCAGUGCUUUGUGGUAUGCUCUCAAAGAGUCGAGUUGUUUGGGAAUGCAGCUCAAAAUGGGUGGUAAAUUCCAUCUAAAGCUAAAUAUAGGCGAGAGACCGAUAGCGAACAAGUACCGUGAGGGAAAGAUGAAAAGAACUUUGGAAAGAGAGUUAAACAGUACGUGAAAUUGCUGAAAGGGAAACGCUUGAAGUCAGUCGCAUUGGUUGAGAAUCAGCCUUGCUUUUGCUUGGUGUACUUCUUAACUGAUGGGUCAGCAUCAGUUUUGACUGUUGGAUAAAGUUCAAAGGAAUGUGGCAUCUUCGGGUGUGUUAUAGCCUUCGUUCGUAUACAGCAGUUGGGACUGAGGAACUCAGCACGCCGCAAGGC
rnacentral:rRNA from 1 species